CAAGAUGAAGAGUGCACUCUGUUUACUGCUGCUCUCAUUCAGCCUACAACGUAUAAAAUGUCAAAGUAUGGAGUCCAUUGAAAGCACAGCUGUGAAAAAGCCUGGAGAAACUCUGACUCUGUCCUGUAGAGGAUCUGGGUUCAGCUUUGGCUGCUGUAGCAUGCACUGGAUCAGACAACAAGCUGGAAAACCACUUGUGUGGAUGGGACGUGUUUCUAGUGGCGGCAGUGGCAAUGACUACUCUGAAUCCUUCAAAGGUCGAAUUGAAAUCACCAGAGAUAAUUCAAAGAGUAUGGCAUAUCUGAAACUAUCAGGCCUGACAGCAGAAGACUCAGCCAUGUAUUACUGUGCAAAGCAAGCACGGUGACACAAAGGUCUUGUACGGCUGAACAAAAACCACACUGACUGUUUCAUGUCUUGUUACUCAAAGUCAACAGGUGGCAGCAGAGAAUGAAAAAAAUCUAUAA